UACGUAGGGUGCGAGCGUUAUUCGGAAUUACUGGGCGUAAAGCGUGCGCAGGCGGUUCGUUAAGUCAGAUGUGAAAGCCCCGGGCUCAACCUGGGAACUGCAUUUGAAACUGGCGGGCUUGAGUGCGGCAGAGGGGGGUGGAAUUCCGCGUGUAGCAGUGAAAUGCGUAGAGAUGCGGAGGAACACCGAUGGCGAAGGCAGCCCCCUGGGUCGACACUGACGCUCAGGCACGAAAGCGUGGGGAGCAAACAGG
rnacentral:rRNA from 1 species